rnacentral:lncRNA from 10 species
GUUUUCAGAGGCGUGGAGGGAGCCCGAGAAGAGCAGAUGUUGACACCACCAUCACUGCCUGCAGCAGUGAGACCAGGGGCACAGUUUUUGUUGAAAGGGUCGACCAGGAAGCACUUCCUUGACUCUGUCCUAAAGCCUCUGGAGAGCCCUUAAAUUUGUGGUCCUUGAAGCUAUUGUAAAGGUGAGGACACAGCGAGGAGUAGGCUGUCUAUGAACCAGGAAGUGGGCCCUCACCAGACACAGAAUCUGCCAGCACCUCAAUUUGGACUUCCCAGACUCCAGAACUGCAAGAAAUUAAUUUCUAUUGCUCACAAGCCACCCAGUCUAUGGUAUUCUGUUACAGCAGCUGGAGCAAACUGAGACAGUACUUGACAGUGAUUUUCAUGAAGGUUCUCCCUUGCUCAUUUUUAAGCCCACUGGUUCAGACAGAAGCCUCUGGGAGAGCCCUCCAGAGUCCACCUUGAAGGCUUCAUUCCUUCUACCCAGAGCAUCUCCGUGGAGAGGAAGAAAAAGCAUCAAUGAAAUGAGGUGCCCCAGCGGUUCUGGGGAGCAAUUCCUCUCUUCAUAUGACCAUUUGGGAAACCCCCAGUGAGAUGGAGUGUGCUUUUAAGCCAUGA